GACGAACGCUGGCGGCGUGCCUAAAACAUGCAAGCCGAACGAGGGUAGUAAUACCUUAGUGGCGAACGGCGGAGUAAUACAUAAGCAACGUGCCCCGAAGACUGGGAUAUACAGCCGAAAGGCUGGGCAAUACCGGAUGUGACGGAAGGAUGGCAUCAUCUUUCCAUUAAACAGUUUUUUGCUUCGGGAGCGGCUUAUGGCCUAUCAGGUAGUUGGUGAGGUAAUGGCUCACCAAGCCGACGACGGGUAGCGGGUCUGAGAGGAUGGUCCGCUCGAGUGGGACUGAGACACGGCCCACACACCUACGGGUGGCAGCAGGUUGGGAAUCUUGCAC
rnacentral:rRNA from 1 species